rnacentral:rRNA from 1 species
UGGGGAAUAUUGGACAAUGGGCGAAAGCCUGAUCCAGCAAUGCCGCGUGUGUGAAGAAGGCCCUCGGGGUGUAAAGCACUUUUAUCAGGAACGAAAUACCACAGGUUAAUACCUUGUGGGGCUGACGGUACCUGAGGAAUAAGCACCGGCUAACUUCGUGCCAGCAGCCGCGGUAAUACGAAGGGUGCAAGCGUUAAUCGGAAUUACUGGGCGUAAAGGGUGCGUAGGCGGUUGUUUAAGUCUGUCGUGAAAUCCCCGGGCUCAACCUGGGAAUGGCGAUGGAUACUGGGCAGCUAGAGUGUGUCAGAGGAUGGUGGAAUUCCCGGUGUAGCGGUGAAAUGCGUAGAGAUCGGGAGGAACAUCAGUGGCGAAGGCGGCCAUCUGGGACAACACUGACGCUGAAGCACGAAAGCGUGGGGAGCAAACAGG